GCAACUGGGAAAAGGUACACAGAAAAGCACAGUGAAGACGCGGAGAUCAUUUUCACUAAACACCUACUGUGUGCCAUUGUAAUCAUUUAUUUUUAUUUUUUUUUUUCGGGGCUGGGGACCGAACCCAGGACCUUGCGCUUCCUAGGUAAGCGCUCUACCACUGAGCCAAAUCCCCAACCCCUACUGUGUGCCAUUGUAACAGAAUCACUGAACCAGGCUGAGUAAAUGAGCAAAUGGCUGAAGAGUUCGACUCCUCCCCUUUUCCCUUAUGGAGGGCGUGAUGGCUUAAAUAGGCGGGGCUUCCAUAGACUCAUGGGUCUGAAUGCUUGGUUCAUGGGGAGUGGCCUUGUUGGAGGAAGUGUGCCAGUGUGGAGGAAGGCUUUGAGGUCUGCUGUGCUCCAGCUAGGCCUAAUGUAGCACACAGUCUCCUGCUGCUGCCUGUGGAUCAAGAUGUAGACCUCUCAGCAGCUUCUGCCGUACCACAGCUACCUGCAUGCCGCCAUGUUUCCCACCAUGCCGGAAAUCGCCUAAACCUCAGACCUGUAAGCCAGCCCAACUAAACACUUUCCUUUGUAAUAGUUGUCUCUUCACAGCAAUAAAACCCUAAAGCAGAGAGCUUUCUGGGGAAUAUGAUACAUGGAUUAGUGUGUGGAAUACAGCCCUCCCUUACAUGGAUAGGCUUCAACCAAUCAGUGAAGGCCCGAGCAGGACAGUAAAGCAAGCAUUCCCCAGGUGAGAAAACCCUCCAGUCUUCCGACUGGAACACUAGGCUUUCCCUGCCCUCAUAACUAAAAGGAGGAGCUUGUUUCUCCUCCCCUCCCCACUCCAUUCCCCCUCCCAGCUCCCCAACCCCCACCAACUUCAGCUACUUCCUUUCCUUUAUGUUGAACAAAUCAGCUGAUUGCUUGCUUUUUUCUUUCUUGGUUUUUAGUGUUUUGGAUACAGGAUCCCAGGCUGGCCUCGAACUCAUGAUCCUCCAGCCACAGCUUUGUAAAUUCUGGCAUUAGAAGCCUGCAUUAUAACGUCCAGGCUUCAUAUUACCCUCAGGCCAGUAAAUACCCUGUGUUCAGCAGAGGUUGGGACUUUGGCCACCAGAGGCAGAAUAUAGGCUGGCCAGGCCCUCCGUUCCUAACUAACUCCAAACUCUGGAAGCAUUGGUAGUGGCAGACACAAUGAAUUAACUCUCACGAGUACUUGCUCUGAAGUUAACCAGUGACCCUCUCUGUAAGUUAAAAUGGGUCCCGAGCAUGUGUAGCAGUAUGAGUGGCCAUCUGUCCUCCCUGCCUUCCUCUGCUGCUGACCUAGCAUACCCCAGCCAUCGGCCACCAGCUGCAUACUUGUUGCAGGCUCCAGCACUGAAGGACACAGCAAGAAGGCAGCCAUCUUCAGGCCAGGCAGGAGCCCCCACCAGCCCCCCACAGACACAUACACACAACUCCAGCAGGGUGACCUUGGACCCCUAGCUUCCACAACUGUGAAACAGUUCAUGUUUAAGUUGAGUGUGCUUAACCUAGAAUAUGCCAUUUAUUAUGGCUACCUGAGAGAAAAGGUAGUCAUGUGGAUUGGUCAGAUGUGACCUAUUAAAAUGUAUACACAGCCUAUGGACAUUUAAGUUGAUGGUGUGAGAUUUUGUCUGUUGAAAAGUGCUGGGGUUGGGGAUUUAGCUCAGUGGUAGAGCGCUUGCCUAGCAAGCGCAAGGCCCUGGGUUCGGUCCCCAGCUCCGAAAAAAAAAAAAAAAGAA